CCUACGGGAGGCAGCAGUAGGGAAUAUUGCUCAAUGGGGGAAACCCUGAAGCAGCAACGCCGCGUGGAGGAUGAAGGUUUUCGGAUUGUAAACUUCUUUUGUUAGAGAAGAUAAUGACGGUAUCUAACGAAUAAGCACCGGCUAACUCCGUGCCAGCAGCCGCGGUAAUACGGAGGGUGCAAGCGUUAUCCGGAUUUACUGGGUGUAAAGGGAGCGUAGGCGGGAUGAUAAGUCAGAUGUGAAAUGCUGUGGCUUAACCACAGAACUGCAUUUGAAACUGUUAAUCUAGAGUGUAGGAGAGGUAGGUGGAAUUCUUGGUGUAGCGGUGAAAUGCGUAGAGAUCAAGAGGAAUACUGAUUGCGAAGGCGGCCUACUGGAAUGUAACUGACGCUGAGGCACGAAAGCGUGGGGAGCAAACAGGAUUAGAUACCCGUGUAGUC
rnacentral:rRNA from 1 species